UACGUAGGAUGCGAGCGUUAUCCGGAUUUAUUGGGUUUAAAGGGUGCGUAGGCGGCUCUAUAAGUCGUGGGUGAAAGUCAGAUGCUUAACAUCUGGAUUGCCUGCGAUACUGUGGAGCUUGGAUUCGGGGGAGGUAACUGGAAUGGUAGAUGUAGCGGUGAAAUGCAUAGAUAUCUGCUGGAACGCCAAUUGCGAAGGCAGGUUACUGUACCGAGAUUGACGCUGAGGCACGAGAGCGUGGGGAGCAAACAGG
rnacentral:rRNA from 1 species